AGCAUGCACCUGGGGUGUCGCAGCCGUGGUCUCUGCGUUUUUGGGGAACGUGCUGGGUCUGGAGAGGACUGACAGAUGAGCAGCUACAAUGGGGAAGCUAUUGGAAACUAAGACCCCUGAGAAAACUACAUAAAAUGUAGAGGAAGUCAGCUGAGACGCAUACUCACAGGCAGCCCUGAGCAGAUAACCAGCGGGACAGGAGAGAGACCCUCCCUGCUCCAGCCGAAGUCUCCUCCCUUCCUGACUCUUCCUGCUGCUGCCUCCACCGCUGUGAGCCUCAAGGGUGUCAAACUGCCAGGUCCCUGGGUCGGCUGGGGACAUUUUGCACUUUCAUCUACUGAUCGAUUCUACAAAGGUCAGCGGACCACCUGCUGCAGUCCAGACUCUGUGCUGGCAACUAGGAGUACAAUCAGAGCCAAACACAUCUUCCCUGCCCUGUGCUGAACUUGCUGUAUUUAAAGAUGAUUAUAUUAAAGGAUGAUGAGCACAGAGACGGCAGCAACAGAGGAUGCAAACGGGCGACUUGGAAAGGGAACUGAACAAGUAUUUGUGGGAUUAAGCAAGGAUUUUGGUGGAAACUACAUGGAGGCUGGGUCAGAGGACUGGUGGAAGAACAGCUGGAAAGUUCAAGGAACUGAUGCUCAAAUGGUGGAGACAAGUCAUGAGUCCGCGGAGGUGAGAAACCGCCAGACCCCACAAGACAAUCUAAGUCGUGCGAAUGAGCUUGACAUUUCUCCUGCACAAGCUCUUGGAGGCUUGGAAGCAGGAGAGUGACACGAGGCUGCUGUCACUCUGUCCAGAUAAAGACGGUCAAACAUAAGGAUAUUGGACAUAAUUUUAGCAUGCUUUAAAAUAUUACAAAGCCCGAAGGCCUUCUUAAUUCUGGGAAUGGUCAUCCAGAGAUACUAUGAAAUAUCUGUUUCUAGACCUUUAUUUUGUAAUUAUAGUCGAUGAUUAAACCAUGUACAUGCUUCAAAAUUCUAAAGGGCACAAGAUUAAAGUCAAUGAAAACUAAAUCUUCCCCACCUAGACCCCAUGGUUUCUUUCUGUUUCUUAUGAAUCAUUUCAAAGAGAUAGUCAGUCUCUUCCAUUUCUUUCUCCCCUCUUCCCUCUCUCUCUUUCCCCAUAUUUCUCCCCUUUCCCCUCUCUUUCUCAAAAAAUAAAUAUUUUGUUACACAGAUGGUAACAUAGUAAUCACACUGCUUUGUUGCGUUUUUCAUAUAUUUCUUGGAGAUCAU